GGUGGAGCAUGUGGUUUAAUUCGACACAACGCGCAAAACCUUACCAAUUUUUGACAUAAAUUAAGAGAUAUUCGUUGAGAAUGUUUGUUUUAGUUUACAGGUGCUGCAUGGCUGUCGUCAGUUCGUGGCGUGAGCUGUUGGGUUAAGUCCCAGAACGAACGCAACCCUCAGGGUUUUUGCUUUGAAUCAAAACCCCAACUGCCAGUGAGAUACGGGAGGAAGGAGAGGAUGACGUCAAGUCCGCAUGGCCCUUAUGAAUUGGGCUACACACGUGCUACAAUGGCGACUACAGUGGGCUGCAAUCCCGCGAGGGUGAGCUAAUCUCCAAAAGUCGUCUCAGUUCGGAUUGCUCUCUGCAACUCGAGAGCAUGAAGGCGGAAUCGCUAGUAAUCGCGGAUCAGCAUGCCGCGGUGAAUACGUUCCCAGGCCUUGUACACACCGCCCGUCACACUACGAAAGUGAACUGCACUCAAAAAAAUCACCCUUCUAAACAAUUAGAUCAAUCUUACACACUUCAACAUUGAAUCCUCGUGUUUUGAAGACAUUUUUACAGUGUUGUCUAUGAUUAUAGUGAAGUCGUAACAAGGUAGCUGUAGGGGAACCUGUAGCUGGAU
rnacentral:rRNA from 1 species